UCAACUACUGGCUGUGUAAUCCUGGGCAAGACACUUGACUUCUCAUAACUUCAGCUUCUUUAUUUGUAAAAUAAAGAGUUGCUGUGAGAUUUUGUCUCGACUUACACAUGGCUUCCUCCAGGAAGCAUUCUUCAGAGAAAAAAUCUGACCUCCUGUGCCCCCAUCUAGAUGUCCUUUUCAGCUGGUUUGGCCAAAUCAGGAUCCAAUUCAGAACUGUGCAACGCAUCUGGUUGCUAUGUCGCUUAACCUACAACAGUCCCUUUUAUCAUGACGUGACCUGCUGAAGACACCAGACCAGUUCCACCUUCUGGAUCUGAUUGCUUCCUCUAACCUUUGUAUUUCCUGUAAGCUGGACGUUAGAUCUGAAGACUUGGUCAGAUUUAAGUUGAACAUUUUUAUCAAGAGAACUUCAUAAGUAG
rnacentral:lncRNA from 1 species